rnacentral:rRNA from 1 species
CCUACGGGGGGCAGCAGUGAGGAAUAUUGGUCAAUGGCCGGAAGGCUGAACCAGCCAUGCCGCGUGAAGGUCAGUGCCCUAUGGGCGUUAAACUUCUUUUGUUCGGGAGCAAUAAUGGUCACGUGUGGCCAGACGAGAGUACCGUACGAAUAAGCAUCGGCUAACUCCGUGCCAGCAGCCGCGGUAAGACGGGGGAUGCAAGCGUUAUCCGGAUUUAUUGGGUUUAAAGGGUGCGUAGGCGGCCUUUUAAGUCAGCGGUGAAAGUCUUGGGCUCAACCAUAGAAUUGCCGUUGAAACUGGGAGGCUUGAGUAUGUUUGAGGUAGGCGGAAGGCGGGGUGGAGCGGAGAAAUGCUUAGAUAUCACGCAGAACCCCGAUUGCGAAGGCAGCCUGCCAAGCCAUGACUGACGCUGAUGCACGAAAGCGUGGGGAUCAAACAGGAUUAGAUACCCCGGUAGUC